AUUGAACGCUGGCGGCAUGCCUUACACAUGCAAGUCGAACGUGAAAGGGGGGGCAACCCCCGAGUAGAGUGGCGGACGGGUGAGCAACACAUCGGAACGUACCCAGUAGUGGGGGACAACCUCGAGAAAUCGAGGCUAAUACCGCAUACGACCCACGGGUGAAAGCGGGGGACCGCAAGGCCUCGCGCUAUUGGAGCGGCCGAUGUCCGAUUAGCUUGUUGGUGGGGUAACGGCCCACCAAGGCGACGAUCGGUAGCUGGUCUGAGAGGAUGAUCAGCCACACUGGGACUGAGACACGGCCCAGACUCCUACGGGAGGCAGCAGUGGGGAAUUUUUGGACAAUGGGGGCAACCCCUGAUCCAGCCAUGCCGCGUGCGGGAAGAAGGCC
rnacentral:rRNA from 1 species